rnacentral:rRNA from 1 species
UACGGAGGGUGCAAGCGUUAUCCGGAUUUAUUGGGUUUAAAGGGUCCGUAGGUGGACAAUUAAGUCAGCGGUGAAAUCCCACAGCUCAACUGUGGAACUGCCAUUGAUACUGGUUGUCUUGAGUACGUUAGAAGUUGGCGGAAUAGGUCAUGUAGCGGUGAAAUGCUUAGAUAUGACCUAGAACACCGAUUGCGAAGGCAGCCAACUAUGCCGUUACUGACACUGAGGGACGAAAGCGUGGGGAGCGAACAGG